AUUGGUGAUGGAUACACUUGCACUGGAAACCUGCUACAGGUUCUCUACUCCAAGCCCAACUUUUCCAACUUUAUGUCACAAAUCUUGAAUUGCUCCAGAACUUCAGCAUCAGGUCAAGAGUUUGUGAGGCGUCUCAGCAACAUAACCACCCAGUCCACCCUGUUUGUGCCUGAUAAUGACGGUCUCUAUGAGAACGAGACACUGUCCUACAGGGAUUUAGAGCACCACCUGCUGGAUGGGAGAGCUCUGGUGCUGCAAGCUCUCAUUAACGUCAGCCAUGUUCGAA